rnacentral:rRNA from 1 species
GACGAACGCUGGCGGCGUGCUUAACACAUGCAAGUCGAACGAUGAAGCGGGUGCUUGCACUCGUGGAUUAGUGGCGAACGGGCGAGUAACACGUGAGUAACCUGUCCUUUUCUUUGGGAUAACGGCUGGAAACGGCUGCUAAUACUGGAUAUUCAGGCUGCAUCGCAUGGUGUGGUUUGGAAAGGUUUUUUCUUGGAUUGGGUGGGCUCGCGGCCUAUCAGCUUGUUGGUGGGGUGAUGGAUUACCAAGGCUUUGACGGGUAGCCGGCCUGAGAGGGUGGUCGGUCGCACAGGGACUGAGGUACGGCCCAGACUCCUACGGGAGGCAGCAGUGGGGAAUAUUGCACAAUGGACGAAAGUUUGAUGCAGCGACGACGCGUGGAGGGUGUAGGCCUUCGGGUUGUGAACUCCUUUUUCUCGCGAAAAAGGCACAGUUUUGGCUGUGUUGAUGGUAGUGGGGGAAGAAGCGCCGGCUAACUACGUG